UUCCUGCCAACUUCCAACUCCUGGAAUCCCA
rnacentral:piRNA from 1 species